rnacentral:misc_RNA from 1 species
GAUGAAGAACGCAGCGAAACGCGAUAUGUAAUGUGAAUUGCAGAAUUCAGUGAAUCAUCGAAUCUUUGAACGCACAUGGCGCCUUCCAGUAUCCUGGGAGGCAUGCCUGUCCGAGCGUCGUUUCAACCCUCGAGCCCCCGUGGCCCGGCGUUGGGGAUCUGCCCAGGCAGUCCCCGAAAACCAGUGGCGGACCCGUUACAGGCCCUUCCCUUGCGUAGUAGCAUUCGCCUCGUAUCGGGAGCCGGCGGGCUUCCAGCCUCUAAACCCCCAUCAAGUCCGCCCCGGCGGCACCAAGGUUGACCUCGGAUCAGGUAGGAAUACCCGCUGAACUUAAGCAUAUCAAUAAGCGGAGGA